rnacentral:misc_RNA from 1 species
CCGAGUUUACAACUCCCAAACCCCUGUGAACAUACCACUUGUUGCCUCGGCGGAUCAGCCCGCUCCCGGUAAAACGGGACGGCCCGCCAGAGGACCCCUAAACUCUGUUUCUAUAUGUAACUUCUGAGUAAACAUCAAAUAAAUUA